rnacentral:snoRNA from 1 species
AAGAUCAUACUUCAUAGGAUCAUUUCUAUAGUAUGAUUAGCGAGUUCACUCACUAUCAAAGCCAUGCUGAGGGGGAAUAAACUCCUACUCAGCAAUGCU